UAUAGUGCAUUGUUUGUUAAACUUAACUUGAGGACAAAAUAACAAAAUAUAUCCAGUACACGAUGUAAUCUAGAUCAUGCAAACAUUCAGAGAUGUCUUCAAUAAUCCUGUGAGAACCACACAACAAUGAACAACCAACAUUGUACAUAUAUUUAUGAAUGAAAGAUUCGAUAGAAGAAACACAUAUUAAACAGAUUCCACAAAAAAAAUGAACCGUAUUGGGAAUCACAUUACCUCAGCCUUUUCAAUAACAAAACAGGUUCAUUCCAGCCUCACGGCAUGAAGGGUCUUCUUUGCAAAUUGUCCAGAACCGAUCCAAAAUCCUGGAAAUAUAUGAUAAAAUUAAUAUUUAUUCAAUUACGAAACAUUUUAAGAUCUUACCGUUGUGGUAUUGAAUUCUUCUUCAUUAUCAUCUGGAUUUACAGGUUCUAGAAUCUCUGGAACUAAUAAUAAAAAAUAAUAUACAAUUUUACAGUGCCA